UGAUGAUGUCACUGAGAGAUGCCAUGGCCUACCUGCUAAACAGCUUUCCUUACAUUGAACAGAUUUGACCAUGCCUUUUCCAGACAUCAGUAAAGCAAAGGACCACAUGGAGUAUCGAAUUUGUUCUCUUGACCUUUUUGAUAUCAGUACUACAGUAUCAACCUUCCAGUGUCCCAGAUAACAGGGCCAGACAAAAACUGCACUAAAUGAAUGCAAAUCAUGGAGGAGUUUACUCUGAGCUGAAGACACAAUACCUGUCUUUCCCUUCUUCCUUAGAAACUUUUUCUUCUGUGUGAAAAAGAAUAAGAGUCAUGUGCUCUCAGGUAAACAACUAUGCCCUUCCUAACUCAUGGAUUUUGUAAGAAAUUAAUGAUAUAAACUCUCUGAUGUCCAGGAACCAUAACAAGCAUGGAAAUCCAGAUGCUUCUGAGAGGCUCACAACUCCUGAUACCCGUAUGUGGGAGGCUCAGAUCAAGGCUAUCUCUUCAGAGAAUUCACUCAAACCCAACGCAGGACUCACCAAGCUUUCCCAUAGACCAUGUAUUUCUUCCCUUUUUAUACAAAGACAGAAGGGCAGCUUCCUUUUCUCCAUCUCUGAUAUCAUCUUCCUCUUUGUUCUCCCUCCCAAAUGGCUGUUUACUCUGAAUUAGGAGCCAAUUAGUAAACCCUAGGGGCACUGAAGGAAUAUCUGAAAGGCAGUUGCAGUCAGGACAACACUCGUGACAUCACAAAAGAAGCUAGGUCUCUGCAGGAUACAAGAGAUUUUUCAGGGAGGGCCUAAUGAUGAUAACACUGAGAAUUGCAAUGGCCUACCUGCUGAACUGCUAUAUUUACAUUGACCACAUUCGAGGGUGACCUUUACAAGAGAGUCUACUGUGACACAGGAGAAACGUUUAAAUACUACAUAUCUCUAAAUCUAUAGAAUUCUCUUUGUUC